GAUGAACGCUGGCGGUGUGCUUAACACAUGCAAGUCGAACGGCAAGGCACUGAUUUUGUGGGGUGCUCGAGUGGCGAACGGGUGAGUAACACGUGAGCAACCUGCUCUUGAUUUUGGGAUAACUUCAGGAAAGUGGGGUUACUCUAGGAUCGCAGACCCUGCUGCAUGGUGGGGGUUGGAUAGUUUCGGCGGUUGGGGAUGGACUCGCGGCUUAUCAGUUUGCUGGUGGGGUAGUGGCUUACCCAGGAUUUGACGGGUAGCCGGCCUGUGAGGGUGACCGGCGACAAUGGUACUGAGAUACGGCCCAGUCUCCUACAGUGGGCAGCAGGGGGGAAUAUUGCACAAUGAGCCGAAGCCUGAUACGACAACGCCGCGUUCGGGAUGACGGCCUUCGGGUAGAGAACCGCUUUCGCCUAUGACGAAGCUGGUGUGACGGUAAUGGAUGAAUAAGCACCGGCUAACUACGUG
rnacentral:rRNA from 1 species